rnacentral:rRNA from 1 species
GAUGAACGCUGGCGGCGUGCCUAAUACAUGCAAGUCGAGCGAACAGACGAGGAGCUUGCUCCUCUGACGUUAGCGGCGGACGGGUGAGUAACACGUGGAUAACCUACCUAUAAGACUGGGAUAACUUCGGGAAACCGGAGCUAAUACCGGAUAAUAUAUUGAACCGCAUGGUUCAAUAGUGAAAGACGGUUUUGCUGUCACUUAUAGAUGGAUCCGCGCCGCAUUAGCUAGUUGGUAAGGUAACGGCUUACCAAGGCAACGAUGCGUAGCCGACCUGAGAGGGUGAUCGGCCACACUGGAACUGAGACACGGUCCAGACUCCUACGGGAGGCAGCAGUAGGGAAUCUUCCGCAAUGGGCGAAAGCCUGACGGAGCAACGCCGUGUGAGUGAUGAAGGUCUUCGGAUCGUAAAACUCUGUUAUUAGGGAAGAACAAAUGUGUAAGUAACUAUGCACGCCUUGACGGUACCUAAUCAGAAAGCCACGGCUAACUACGUG